rnacentral:rRNA from 1 species
CACGUAGGCAGCGAGCGUUGUUCGGAGUUACUGGGCGUAAAGGGUGUGUAGGCGGUUGUUUAAGUUUGGUGUGAAAUCUCCCGGCUCAACUGGGAGGGUGCGCCGAAUACUGAAUGACUCGAGUGCGGGAGAGGAAAGUGGAAUUCCUGGUGUAGCGGUGAAAUGCGUAGAUAUCAGGAGGAACACCGGUGGUGUAGACGGCUUUCUGGACCGUAACUGACGCUGAGACACGAAAGCGUGGGUAGCAAACAGG